UGGGGAAUAUUGGACAAUGGAGGAAACUCUGAUCCAGCAAUUCUGUGUGUGUGAAGAAGGUUUUAGGACUGUAAAACACUUUUAGUAGGGAAGAAAAAAAUGACGGUACCUACAGAAGAAGCAACGGCUAAAUACGUGCCAGCAGCCGCGGUAAUACGUAUGUUGCGAGCGUUAUCCGGAAUUAUUGGGCUUAAAGGGCAUCUAGGCGGUAAGACAAGUUGAAGGUGAAAACCUGUGGCUCAACCAUAGGCUUGCCUACAAAACUGUUGAACUAGAGUACUGGAAAGGUGGGUGGGACUACACGAGGAGAGGUGAAAUUCGUAGAUAUGUGUAGGAAUGACGAUGAUGAAGAUAACUCACUGGACAGAAACAGACGCUGAAGUGCGAAAGCUAGGGGAGCAAACAGG
rnacentral:rRNA from 1 species